rnacentral:rRNA from 1 species
UACGUAGGGGGCAAGCGUUGUCCGGAUUCAUUGGGCGUAAAGAGCUCGUAGGCGGCUUGGCAAGUCGGGUGUGAAAACUUCAGGCUCAACCUGGAGCGGCCACUCGAUACUGCCAUGGCUAGAGUCCGGUAGGGGACCACGGAAUUCCUGGUGUAGCGGUGAAAUGCGCAGAUAUCAGGAGGAACACCAAUGGCGAAGGCAGCUCGCUGGAACGGUACUGACGCUGAGGCGCGAAAGCGUGGGGAGCGAACAGG